CCUGCCUUUUGGCUGUUGCUCUGGCACAUCAUGAGAUAAAGCACUCCUCCUCUUCCAGUGAGGAAACUGCAAAUAAAAUAGAUACGAUGGAAUCUGCUCAAGUAUCCACUGAAAACAAUGAACUGACUAAGGAAGGAAGGAUCUACUUAAAGCACAUGGAAUCUACCAGCAUCUCCCAAGAAGAAUCUGCUGAAGUAUUCCCUGAGACGAAAACCAACCAGUUUCUCCAGAAGUUCACUGUCCCCCAGUAUGUCCAGGCUGUUCCCCUUGUAGUCUAUGAGCCUGUGGAAUCACAUUCAGGAAAACACCUACCCAUAUAUUCCCAUUUAGAAGAACAUGUAAGAUUCUUGAAUUAACUGCUGCAAUUUGAGCUUGAGUAUGACUAGAAAAAUCAUUCCUUUAUAAUUUCUUCAUCUACCACAUCACCUCCUACUAGCAAUAUAUUUUGGCAUGCUUCUUGAAAUGUCAACAGUAUUGAGCCAAAAGAAGACUGUGUGGAA
ensembl:lncRNA CSN1S2AP casein alpha s2 like A, pseudogene